rnacentral:sRNA from 1 species
AUGUAUCCACGUGCAGGACGGUUCCUGUACGCCGCCCACACCCGCCUGAGACCGCUCGCUCCGUUUUUUCAGCC